rnacentral:rRNA from 1 species
AGUCGAGCGGAGAUGAGGUGCUUGCACCUUAUCUUAGCGGCGGACGGGUGAGCAAUGCUUAGGAAUCUGCCUAUUAGUGGGGGACAACAUUCCGAAAGGGAUGCUAAUACCGCAUACGUCCUACGGGAGAAAGCAGGGGAUCUUCGGACCUUGCGCUAAUAGAUGAGCCUAAGUCGGAUUAGCUAGUUGGUGGGGUAAAGGCCUACCAAGGCGACGAUCUGUAGCGGGUCUGAGAGGAUGAUCCGCCACACUGGGACUGAGACACGGCCCAGACUCCUACGGGAGGCAGCAGUGGGGAAUAUCGGACAAUGGGGGGAACCCUGAUCCAGCCAUGCCGCGUGUGUGAAGAAGGCCUUAUGGUUGUAAAGCACUUUAAGCGAGGGGGAGGCUACUGAGACUAAUACUCUUGGAUAGUGGACGUUACUCGCAGAAUAAGCACCGGCUAACUCUGUGCCAGCAGCCGCGGUAAUACAGAGGGUGCGAGCGUUAAUCGGAUUUACUGGGCGUAAAGCGUGCGUAGGCGGCUUUUUAAGUCGGAUGUGAAAUCCCCGAGCUUAACUUGGGAAUUGCAUUCGAUACUGGGAAGCUAGAGUAUGGGAGAGGAUGGUAGAAUUCCAGGUGUAGCGGUGAAAUGCGUAGAGAUCUGGAGGAAUACCGAUGGCGAAGGCAGCCAUCUGGCCUAAUACUGACGCUGAGGUACGAAAGCAUGGGGAGCAAACAGGAUUAGAUACCCUGGGUAGUCCA